rnacentral:rRNA from 13 species
UUACCGUAGGUGAACCUGCGGUAGGAUCAUU